UUAUCAUCUUUAAUACAUGGAGAUAUCUGUUAUUUUGAACAAGCAUCAAGUAACAUCGUCGAGGUUUUCUGACUACACAUAACAGCACUUUGGCAGAAUAUAAAUUAAAUAUGGUUGGCAAAUUAGUGUUUGUUUUUCUUGUGAUUGGAAUGCUUUCUUUGAUGUCGGUACAUCUUGCAGAGGCGUACGCUUGCUAUGACGUACACUCUGGAUGUCCGGCAGGUGAAAAAGUAGCAGGAUCAUUCUGUGAUGAUAGUUGUACUGGUGAUUUUAUUUGUUGCGAAGAUCCAUAACAGUAAGACAAUGUUGCAUCAUUUAGAAGAAAAAAAAUGGAUCUUCAACAGUUAAUAUAUUAACAUGUAUUUAUUUGUAUAUGUAAAUAUCUAAGUAGAAAAUAAAUCUUUAAGAAGUGAGAUAA